AUGAAGGGUGUUGUGAUCUUUCUUGUGUUGACACUGGUCCUGUUCAUGGCUGAACCCGUGGAGCCUCGAUUUCGUUCGGGGUUUCAAAACGGUUUACGGAAGUUUAAAGAAAGCAAAUACCCAGACAGACUGAAGAGGCUGGCUAAGGGAGUGAUUGAACAUGGGCCUGCCUGGAUGGAAGGUAUUGCCAGCCUAAAAGAUGGAUAUGUUGCUCGCCUUGAUGAUGAGAUGUCAUAGAGCGCAGUUCAACAGAGGAUCUGG